AUUGAACGCUGGCGGAAUGCUUUACACAUGCAAGUCGAACGAUGAACCUUAGCUUGCUAAGGGGAUUAGUGGCGAACGGGUGAGUAAUGUAUCGGAACGUAUCCAAUAAUGGGGGAUAACUAGUCGAAAGAUUAGCUAAUACCGCAUACGUCCUACGGGAGAAAGCUAGGGACCUUCGGGCCUGGCGUUAAUGGAGCGGCCGAUAUCUGAUUAGGUAGUUGGUGGGGUAAUGGACUACCAAGCCUGCGAUCUAUAGCUGGUCUGAGAGGAUGAUCAGUCACACUGGAACUGAGACACGGUCCAGACUCCUACGGGAGGCAGCAGUGGGGAAUAUUGGACAAUGGGCGAAAGCCUGAUCCAGCCAUGCCGCGUGUGUGAAGAAGGUCUUCGGAUUGUAAAGCACUUUAAGUCGGGAGGAAGGGCUGUAGGCUAAUACCUUGCAGUUUUGACGUUACCGACAGAAUAAGCACCGGCUAACUUCGUGCCAGCCGCCGCGGUAA
rnacentral:rRNA from 1 species